AUGGAUCAGCCCGAUGGUUUUGUAGUACCUGGUCAAGAAAGAAAGGUGUGCAAGUUAUUAAAGUCUUUAUAUGGCCUUAAACAAGCUCCUAAGGAGUGGCAUGAGAAGUUCGAAAGAACAUUAACUCCUGCAGGCUUUGUAGUAAACGAUUUGGUGACAAGUGUGUGUACUAUCGCCAUGGUGGGGGCGAAGGAGUUAUUCUUUGUUUGUAUGUUGAUGACAUACUGA
rnacentral:rRNA from 1 species